rnacentral:rRNA from 1 species
UGGGAAUUUUGGACAAUGGGCGCAAGCCUGAUCCAGCCAUGCCGCGUGCGGGAAGAAGGCCUUCGGGUUGUAAACCGCUUUUGUCAGGGAAGAAAUCUUCUGAGUUAAUACCUCGGGAGGAUGACGGUACCUGAAGAAUAAGCACCGGCUAACUACGUGCCAGCAGCCGCGGUAAUACGUAGGGUGCAAGCGUUAAUCGGAAUUACUGGGCGUAAAGCGUGCGCAGGCGGUUUUGUAAGACAGAGGUGAAAUCCCCGGGCUCAACCUGGGAACUGCCUUUGUGACUGCAAGGCUUGAGUGCGGCAGAGGGGGGAAUGGAAUUCCGCGUGUAGCAGUGAAAAUGCGUAGAUAUGCGGAGGAACACCGAUGGCGAAAGGCAAAUCCCCUGGGCCUGCACUGACGCUCAUGCACGAAAAGCGU